AUGGAACUCCAGUUGAGGCUGUUUCAACUCCUGAAAGAUGAUGCUGUGAAAGUGUUGCACUCAAUAUGCCAGCAAAUUUGGAAAACUCAGCAGCGGCCACAGGACUGGAAAAGGUCAGUUUUCAUUCCAAUUCCAAAGAAAGGCAAUGCCAAAGAAUGCUCAAACUACCGCACAAUUGCACUCAUCUCACAUGCUAGUAAAGUAAUGCUCAAAAUUCUCCAAGGCAGGCUUCAGCAAUACAUGAACCGUGAACUCCCUGAUAUUCAAGAUGGUUUUAGAAAAGACAGAGGAACCAGAGAUCAAAUUACCAACAUCUGCUGGAUCAUGGAAAAAGCAAGGAAGUUCCAGAAAAACAUAUAUUUCUGCCUUAUUGACUAUGGAAAAGCCUUUGACUGUGUUGAUCACAAUAAACUGCGGAAAAUUCUGAAAGAGAUGGGAAUACCAGACCACCUGACCUGCCCCUUGAGAAAUCUGUAUGCAGGUCAGGAAGCAACAGUUAGAACUGGACAUGGAAUAACAGACUGGUUCCAAAUAGGAAAAGGAGUGUGUCAAGGCUGUAUAUUGUCACCCUGCUUAUUUAACUUCUAUGCAGAGUACAUCAUGAGAAACUCUGGGCCGGAAGAAACACAAGCUGGAAUGAAGAUUACUGGGAGAAAGAUCAAUAACCUCAGAUAUGCAGAUGACACCACCCUUAUGGCAGAAAGUGAAGAGGAACUAAAAAGCCUCUUGAUGAAAGUGAAAGAGGAGAGUGAAAAAGUUGGCUUAAAGCUCAACAUUCAGAAAACGUAUAUCAUAGCAUCUGGUCCCAUCACUUCAUGGGAAAUAGAUGGGGAAACAGUGGAAACAGUGUCAGACUUCAUUUUGGGGGGCUCCAAAAGCCCUGCAGAUGGUAACUACAGCCAUGAAAUUAAAAGAUGCUUACUCCUUGGAAGAAAAGUUAUGACCAACCUAGAUAGUAUAUUCAAAAGCAAAGGCAUUAAUUUGCCCACUAAGGUCCCUCUAGUCAAGGCUAUGGUUUUUCCUGUGGUCAUGUAUGGAUGUGAGAGUUGGACUGUGAAGCAGCCUGAGCGCCGAAGAAUUGAUGCUAUGUACUGUGGUGUUGGAGAAGACUCUCGAAGAGUCCCUUGGACUGCAAGGAGAUCCAACGAGUCCAUUCUGAAGGAGAUCAACCCUGGGAUUUCUUUGGAAGGAAUGAUGCUGAAGCUGAAGCUCCAGUACUUUGGCCACCUCAUGUGA
rnacentral:lncRNA from 1 species